ACUUGAUUUUUGAGAAGAAAGCUUGAUUUUUAGCUUGGUUUGGAAGCUUGAUUUGUGUUGGAAGCUUGGAGCUUGUUUGAGCAAGAGAUUGAGGAUUACCGGCACCUGGUCAGGAGCACCCGGGGAUUCGGAAUCUCUGCCUUUGCGGGACAACAGGAAAGGGUAGGACUUAUGCUGAUCAGCCAUGAGUGCAGGAG